AGAGUUUGAUCCUGGCUCAGAUUGAACGCUGGCGGCAUGCCUUACACAUGCAAGUCGAACGGCAGCACGGGAGCAAUCCUGGUGGCGAGUGGCGAACGGGUGAGUAAUAUAUCGGAACGUGCCCAGUCGUGGGGGAUAACGCAGCGAAAGCUGUGCUAAUACCGCAUACGAUCUAUGGAUGAAAGCGGGGGAUCGCAAGACCUCGCGCGAUUGGAGCGGCCGAUAUCAGAUUAGCUAGUUGGUGGGGUAAAGGCCCACCAAGGCGACGAUCUGUAGCUGGUCUGAGAGGACGACCAGCCACACUGGAACUGAAACACGGUCCAGACUCCUACGGGAGGCAGCAGUGGGGAAUUUUGCGCAAUGGGGGAAACCCUGGACGCAGNCAACGCCGCNUGGAGGAUGAAGUCCCUUGGGACGUAAACUCCUUUCGACCGGGACGAUAAUGACGGUACCGGUGGAAGAAGGCCCCGGCUAAACUUCGUGCCANCNNCCGCGGUAAUACGAGGGGGGCAAGCGUUGGUUCGCGAAUUUAUUGGGCCGUAAAGGGCGCGUANGCGGUGNCGGNUAAGUCNCCUGUGAAAUCUCUGGGACUCAACUCAUANUCUGNANGCNAAACUGCCNNGCUGGAGUAUGGGGNGAGGUGCGUGGGACUCCCCNGGUGUAUCCGUGGACGUGCGUANAUAUCGGG
rnacentral:rRNA from 1 species